UCAUUUACAUUUGGUGCGAGGGGAGCAUGAAUCGGUACUAAAUCUUCAGCAGCUCUCAUCUUCGAUAAGUAGAUGUUUUGCUGGUUAUGCGAAUAUGGGAUUGAAGUUGACAUUGUUAUCGGUAUGUAAACAUUAAACCCUUUGCAGAAACCCAGUUUCAGCAAUCCGUCUCAGUGGGUAGGCGUCUACGUUAAGCCCUUUCUCUGUAAAGCCCCAACUUUUUCUUCUUUCCUUCCGUAGAAAUAUAAUUGGAAUCGAGUAAUAGAAGGCAAAAAAUGGGGAAGAGCUUCACUCUGAUUCAGACAGUCACCACCGCCGGAGCGUUCUCUGCCGUUUCCUUCUGGUACGGGUUCAUGUUCGGCCGAGAGUCUGCCCGUAAGGAGCUCGGCGACUUGAUUGAAAAUCUCCGCCGCGGAAACACUGAUUCUGCUGCUUCUUCGCCUCCCCAUUCCUAAAUGGAGUAUCACAAUAUAUUGUGAUGGAAGUUUGGGAUGAGCUUGAAUCUCUCUCAAAUUUUGUUUGUCAAAAAAAAAAAAAAGGUUUGGGAUGAGCUUGAACCGAUUGAAAUGUAAGGGAUAGGUUUUCCGAUGGGGUUUAGGGAUCUCUCAACCUUGUCUGAUAAUCGCUCAUAUUUGGAUUUUCUUUCGUUUCUCUUUUCAAAUCAAAGACUCUGUUCGGUGUAACAGAAAAGGGGAGACAGCUCUGUGUCUCCUGCGUUCGGAAGAACAUUUGAGAUGCUUGGUCAAGGUCCACAUCAUCCAGAAGGCAGAGAAGAGUAAUUUCAUCCCUAAAGCUUGAGCCUUGUGCUGAUCCACAAAUCCCUAAGGUAUUAAGGUAUUUGUUGUAAGCGAUCUCUAGCCAUCCUUGGCAGCAUUUUUUUUAUCUUUGCCUUAUGUAAUCCUCGAGGAGUAUUUUGCCCUAUAGAUGGCAAUUCUAAAACCUUGGCAUGUUAACCUCACUUUGUAGAUUCAUGUCUUCUAAAGACGUAUACAUUUUCACAGAUUA